UAGUACGAGAGGACCGAGUUGGACGAACCUCUAGUGUACCUGUUGUUUCGCCAGAAGCAUUGCAGGGUAGCUACGUUCGGAAGGGAUAAGCGCUGAAAGCAUAUAAGCGCGAAACCCACCACAAGAUGAGAUUUCUUUAAAGGGUCGUGGGAGAUGACCACGUUGAUAGGCUAUAGGUGUAAAGGCAGUAAUGUCAUAGCCAAGUAGUACUAAUAACCCGUAGGCUUAUUGUACGCC
rnacentral:rRNA from 1 species